GCGCGCGCGCACACACACACACACACACACACACACACACACACAACCUCUGCCUGCCUUUUGAAAUCAAAUACAUUUCCUGCCUCUUCUCUCCUCAGUACUCACACAACCAGCUUAUUUAUAGCCCAGGAAAAGGGAAAAAAAAAACAACGCUCCACUGCAGGCCGGAAAACUAAGUAGGGAAAGAAUAGGAGGAAGUAGGCUUGCCAUUUGGCCAAACAACCUUUUCUUCAUUGAGCUCAAAGCUUAGCCGAUUCACAGUGGUGGUGGUGGUUAGGCAUAAUUGGCUUGCAAAUUUCUUUCUUUCUUUCGUAACUCCUUACUUUUGAACUGUCUUUGGGCAAUGGAGGCGAUGACAGCUUUUGAGAACAGCAAUCUCUAGGUGUUCAGGCACAUUGAAAAGAAACUUAAAACCUGGUGAAAGAAAGUGUGGUGGACAGAUGAUUUGCUAGUGUGGUGAUGUCUGUUGACGAUGCAUCUGCAAAUUAAGCAGAUACCGUCCACGUUUGUGUGAGAGAUGAGAAGCCUGAUUGGUGUCAGCACAAUGACCAUCAAAGGAGCAGGCUCUGCUGGUUGCUGAGAAGGAAGCCGGUUGCUGUUCCUUCUGCCCCUCCCUGGUUGAGAUUGGUGUGUUUAGAAUCUGCAGCAAGAAGAUAGCAAAGCUGAAGGCAGAAGUGUGAGCCUGCUAGACGUGGUGAGGAGCCUACGGCCUCCUUCUGGGUGACAUAGAAGAGGUACCCUGGGCCUCGUUUUCCAUAGGAAUGGAAUCAGAGUCAAAAGGUCAUGUGAAGCAGCAGUGAUUUAGAAGUCAGCAAAAAUAACCUUCACCUUGUGGGACGUGUAAAAGAGGGCGUGCGUGGGCAUCCAGAGACCAAUGCAGAAAACCACAAUGAAACAAAAGUCAGAGUUGUGGUGCCCAGCGCUAAUGGAUACAUCUACAACACAACUCCUUCACCUAAAGUCCGGGGAUCACUGCAGAGAAGUGGGCAGAAAGAUGGCAAGAGCCAGAAGGACAGGGAGUUUACUGUGAGAUUGUGUCACCUAGCAAUGUCAGAAGGACAGCUGUUCAAAAGCACUUUUUCUGUGUCCUUUCUUUUCCUUUUGAAAAUAAAUCCAUGAGACACAUAUAGCCAUGCAUAUUGUUGAUUUACUAUUUAGAUGAUUCCUAAGAGCAAUGUAGUAGAGUUGCUCACAGUCACUCAGAAGGACCAAGAAUGAGGUAGCUCAGAUGUCGGGUCUUGGGUUCCUCAUCCUGCUUGGUUUUCUAUUUUAGCAAUGGAGUGAUCAGGACAGUAUCACGAAGUCCUUGAAAACUGGGAUUGGGGAAGAGCAUUUGGAAAUAUGCUGUCUUCAAGUAAUGAACUGCCAUCAUGUUCCUAGAUUCCUUGUGUCUCACCCACAAUUCCCUGCACUUCAACUCCAACAUGUGUAAACUAAAUGGAGGUUGAGAAAGCACUGCCAAACACGGACAGCCCAGAGGAGUCAGAAGAAAGGAUUAACUUUUGCAAAGAAUUUUCCAUCUGUUUCCCUGAUAAGGCUGAUUAGAACCAGCUAUCUAGUUUUGCACACUCUGAACUAACAGACUAACUGUACCAUCUGGCCUGGCUAAAUUUAAUGCAGAUUUCUUCAAGGAGUUCGGGCUCUGUUAUGUAGGCAAAGCCCUCACCUUCCCAAAUUCUCGGGAGAACAGGAGUUAAUGCUGCUAGAGGUUGUCCAUUCUGUUUACUAGAGACAGCCCGCUGGAGUAGGAAGUGUUUCGUGAUUUCCCGUAUACAGGCUGGGCACCUGUUAGCCAGCUCAUUGAAACCCUGCACCUGUUAGGUAGUUUCUCUCGAGUUUCAUUCUUUGUGUCAAACUUACAGCACAGAUGCGGUCUUUGUCUCCUGGCCUCCCUGGUACUUCUCCCAUCCCUCGCUUUUUCAACUACAUCAAUCAGUGCCCUCUCUUAUUUUUGGCAUAAAGAACUUGCUUUUAAUUAGUUUCAAGGCUUUGGGAAAAGCAGUUUAAAGGGGUUGAGUUGAUGAACGGUGUCUCUACGGUCCUCCGAUGCACACACAGAUGACCUUAGACCUCGUGGGAACUGAACUGAGUUCAGGCCUAUCUUCUUGUUUGUUAUUUAACAACAGUGU
ensembl:lncRNA